UGGGGAAUAUUGCACAAUGGAGGGAACUCUGAUGCAGCGACGCCGCGUGAACGAAGAAGGCUUUCGAGUCGUAAAGUUCUUUUAUAUGGGAAGAUAAUGACGGUACCAUAAGAAAAAGCCCCGGCUAACUACGUGCCAGCAGCCGCGGUAAUACGUAGGGGGCUAGCGUUGUCCGGAAUCACUGAGCGUAAAGGGUUCGCAGGCGGAAAUGCAAGUCAGGUGUAAAAGGCAGUAGCUUAACUACUGUAAGCAUUUGAAACUGCAUAUCUUGAGAAGAGUAGAGGUAAGUGGAAUUUUUAGUGUAGCGGUGAAAUGCGUAGAUAUUAAAAAGAAUACCGGUGGCGAAGGCGACUUACUGGGCUCAUUCUGACGCUGAGGAACGAAAGCGUGGGUAGCAAACAGG
rnacentral:rRNA from 2 species